CCUACGGGAGGCAGCAGUGGGGAAUAUUGCACAAUGGGCGAAACCCUGAUGCAGCGACGCUGCGUGAGUGAAGAAGUAUUUCGGUGUGUAAAGCUCUAUCAACAGGGAAGAAAAUGACGGUACGUGAUUAAGAAGCCCCGGCUAACUACGUGCCAGCAGCCGCGGUAAUACGUAGGGUGCAGGCGUUAUCCGGAUUUACUGGGUGUAAAGGGAGCGUAGACGGCAGCACAAGACUGGAGUGAAAUGCCGGGGCUGAACCCCGGAACUGCUUGGGAAACUGUGCAGCUAGAGUGCAGGAGAGGCAAGUGGAAUUCCUAGGGUAGCGGUGAAAUGCGUAGAUAUUAGGAGGAACACCAGUGGCGAAGGCGGCUUACUGGACUGUAACUGACGUUGAGGCUCGAAAGCGUGGGGAGCAAACAGGAUUAGAUACCCGUGUAGUC
rnacentral:rRNA from 1 species